rnacentral:rRNA from 1 species
GACGAACGCUGGCGGCGUGCUUAACACAUGCAAGUCGAACGAAGUGGCGACCGGGUGAGUAACGCGUAAUCAACCUGCCCUUCAGAGGGGGACAACAGUUGGCAACGACUGCUAAUACCGCAUACUGCAGGCGGUGAUUUCGGCUGCGUAGCUCGUUGGAGGGGGAACGGCCCACCAAGGCGAGGAUAAGUAGCCGGUCUGGGAGGAUGAACGGCCACAUUGGGACUGAGACACGGCCCAGACUCCUACGGGAGGCAGCAGUGGGGAAUCUUCCGCAAUGGACGAAAGUCUGACGGAGCAACGCCGCGUGAGUGAUGACGGCCUUCGGGUUGUAAAGCUCUGUUAAUCGGGACGCGGUACCGGAAUAGAAAGCCACGGCUAACUACGUGCCAGCCGCCGCGGUAAUUC